GCUGGGCCGCGACCUGGCUGUUGGGCCUACUCGGGAUGGGGCCCACGCGGCGGUCAACGACUACGAGCGGCGGCUGUCUUCCCCGUCCCGCUCGAUAUCGAGUUCAAGGUCAGUUGCGAUCGAUGACGCAGCAUCGGGGCGGUGGCGGCUCGGGUACCAAUGUUGAGGCAUGGCCGGGGAUGGCCAGAUACAGGCGCAUGACAUCGGUUCUGACUAGAGGACGAAGCAGGCGACGGGGCUCCUGGGGACGGGUGCC
rnacentral:lncRNA from 1 species